rnacentral:rRNA from 1 species
GACGAGAGUGGCAAGCGUUAUUCGGAAUUAUUGGGCGUAAAGCGUCCGUAGGGGGAUCUUCACGUCAGUUGUAAAAGCCCAGGGCUCAACCCUGUGGAUGGCAUCUGAUACGGAGGAUCUAGAAGAAGGUAGAGGCACACGGAAUUCCAGGAGUAGGGGUAAAAUCCGUAGAUACCUGGAGGAACACCGAUAGCGAAGGCAGUGUGCUGGGCCUCUCUUGACCCUGAGGGACGAAAGCGUGGGGAGCAAACGGG